UUUAGAGCAUGUCAAAUACAGAAGUGAAUGUUAGUGGCAAACCAGUGAACUGAAAACAGACAUCUUGUUGGUAGAUUUUGAGACAGGAUUACAAUAGUUGAAGGUGUUGUUAACUCCAAAAGAACAACAUUGUCAAUGACCCAGAGCUUUCUGGUACUAGACCAAUAUUCAAACAAUGAACAUAGACAGAUCUAUGGCUCCAAAUGCAUAUGUGGCAGAGUAUGGGCACCAAUGGAAGGAGAAGCCUUGGUCCUACCUAGGUUUGUCUCCCAGUUCAAGGGAAUUUCAAGGGGCAGAAUUAUGGUUAGAGAAGAAGGGAUUGUGAACAGGUAGUGAUCUUAUGGGCAGGAAAUUGAGAAAGGACAUAAUAUUUUAAAUGUAAAUAUAGACUCAUCCAGUUUAAAAACACUAUAAUUUGAUAAAAAUUUAAAAAAGAAAGAUUUAAAAGUAAAGAAAACUGCCAACUAAUCACACUUAUUUAAUCAGAUCUCUAAAUUGGUAUUCAGAGUAAUACUAGUGGAAAGACAAAGAUGAUGAAGUCUCAACUAGAAGCACUUCUUUCUCCGAAAUAUCCGUGUCAGACACAAAAUGCACUAUAGGUAUCCAAAGCUUGGAGGAGUUUACUCUGAGCUAAGUACCCAAUACUUGUCUUUACCUCCUUCCUUAAGACCUUUUUCUUCUGGGCAAAAAGAAUAAAGGCCAUAGCUCUCAGAAAAACAACUGUGCCCUCUCAAAAUCUAUUCUUUGCAAUUAAGAAAUGAAUGAUAUAAACCCUUUGACAUUCAGGAACCAUAAGAACAGGGAAUUCCAGAUGCUUCUGUGAUGCUUCCAGCUCUUGAUUCUCAUAUGUGUAAGUCUCAGAUCAAGUCUAUCUCUUCAGCGAUACCACUCCAACCCUUCCAAGGACUCUCUGAACUUUUCAAAAUACCACUUAUUUCUUCAUUUUUUUCAUACAAAGACAGAAGGCCAGGUUCCUUCUUCACAUCUCUGAUCUCCUCAUCCUGUUUGUUCUCACUCCCAAAUGGCUGUUUACUCUGAAUUAGUGGCAAAUUAGUAAACCAGAGAGGUAAUGAGGUAAUAUGUGAGAGUCAGUUCCUGUCAGGACAAUAAUUGUUACAUCACAGAAGAAGCUAGGGCUCUCCUAGUUACAACAGAUUUUUCAUGGAGGUCCUAUUUAUGAUGUCACUGAGAACUGCCAUCUCCUACCUGCUAAACAGCUUUCCUUACAUUUACCAGAUUCGAGGGUGUCCUUUCCAGGUAUGUCUCCUGUGACACAGUGGAAAGCUUUACGUACUCCAUCUCUCUUAAGCUAGAGACUUAUCUCUGCUUCACUAGUGGUUACAUGCUCUGAAUGGAGAAGGUUAGUCAGGGGCUUGGCAUGGGUCCCUAAGAUCUAGGAAUAUGGAGUGCAGGAGAUUCUACUGGAUAAUAAUUUUAUUCCCAGUUCCAUUCCUCUGGCCUAUAAUUCAAUUUCCUCAGAUAUCUUUCUUUUCUAAAAGCCAGUAUUUUCCCUACAGAUCUUUAAUUGAGUGAAUAUUUUAUUACAUUUUCUUAGUGUACAUUCCUUGAUAGUGGACUUUAUAUAUAUUGCUGAAUGUGUACUCAAAUGUUCUAUUAUCCUAUUCCAUUUUUUUGCUCUGAUUUUGAAAAAAAGGGGGCCCAGUACUAAAGUGAAUAUAACAGUGUAUAUAUUCUGUAUCUACUUAAAUGACAAACUCCCAAAUCCUUAUUUUAUCCAAAAAUUACCACACAUUAGUAAAGCAAAGGACAACAUAGACUAUAAUGUGGUUCUGCGGUAGCAGUAGAUAGCAGUUCUCUAAUAUCUACCUUCCAGUGUUUCCAUGGCCAGACUUGAGGGUUUUGGAUGUUUUACCAUGAUUCUUUAUUCAGUCCAAACAUAAAGUUCAUUACAUGGACUGGGAGAGGAGUGGCUUGAAGUCAAGUGAAUCUUCUACUUCAGUAGGUUCAUAAGAAUAGAAUGGCGUCUAUAUGGCUUCGUCAUUUGUGGAUUCUAAAUUCUUAACUUAGUUGCGCAGAAUACUUGUUAAACAUCCACCAAACACCAUAGCUGUACAAGGGACCAAUUAUAUCCUAAUCAUUCUGAUUGCUGUGCUAUGGAAACUCAGGAUUUUGUUUUUGAUUUCCAUUUACCUGAUGGCUAAGGAUGUUGAUAUUCCUCAGUUGAGAAUUCAUUGUUUAGCUCUACACACACAAACACAAACACAAACACACACACAUACACACACUCUCUGUCUCUGUCUCUGUCUCUCUCUCUGUCUCUCUCUCUCCCUCUCUCUCUCUCUCUCCCUCUCCCUCUCUCUCUCUCUCUCUCUCUCUCUCUCUCUCUCUCUCUCUCUCCGCAAUCAAAUGUAGAUAAGAGUGAUGAAGCUAAGGAGUCUAUGCUGCCAGUGAACUGAAAAUGGACAUCUUGUUGGUAGGAUUUGAGAAAGGAUUAGAAGAGCUAAAGGUAUUUUCAACACCAUAAGAACAACAAUGCAAAAAAAAAAAAAAAAAAAAAAAACAGAGAUUUCUGGUACUAAACCAAUAUUCAAAGACUGUACAUGGACAGAACUAUGGCUCCAACUGCAUAUGUGACAAAGGAUGGUCUUGGGGUCACCAAUGGAAGGAGAAGCCAUUGGGUUUGACUCCAAGUUCAAGGCAAUGUCAGGGAGCAGUAAGGUGGGUUAUAGAAGAAGGGGAGCAGAAUUGGAUAGGGCAAUUAUGGAAAAGAAACUGGGAAAGGAAAUAACAUUUGAAAUGCAAAUGUAGAAAUAUCCAGUUAAAAAAGCAAUAAAAUUUUAUAAAAAAUAAAAAAAUGAAAGAAAGAAAAAAAUCUGCCAGCUAAUCAAACCUAUUGACACAGAAAUCUAAAUAGUCACUGUCAGGGAAUGGUAUUCAGAGUAAUACUAAUAGAAAGACUGAGAUGAUGAAGUCUCAACUAGAAGCUCUUCUUCUCCAGAUAUCAGUGUCAUAAACAAAUUGCACAAUAGGAAUCCAAAGCAUGGAGGCGUUUACACUGAGCUGAGGAGAUAAUACUUGUCUUUCCUUUGUUUCUUUGGACCUUUUCUUCAGGGCAAAAAGAGUAAAAGCCACAAGCUCUGAGAAGAACAACUGUGCCCUUCCCAACAACUGGCUUUUGUAAUGAAUAAAUUGAUUAUAUAAACUCUCUUACUUACAGGAACCAUAUCAAGCAGGAAUAAAGAAAAGGACUGUUUACUGCACGAUCUCUUGAUAUCACGGAACAAUUCUUCCAACACUACAAAGUGAAAUCUCAUAAAGAAAUGGGUACCCGAAGCCACAGUUUCUUACCUUCUAUUUGGUUGUGCACACUGUGACCACCAUUUCAUUUUAACCAGGUUUAACGCAAAGCUUCUUUGAAGAUGUUCCCAUUUCCACCAACUCACUUCAACCUCAAUGCCCUGGCAUUACCCUACACUGGGGAAACAAGUCUUCACUGGAUUAAAGGAUUUUAAUUCCAAUCAUGCUGGACAGUGCAUUUCUCUGCCACACAUGUGGCUGGAAUCAUUGGUUCCUCAAACUGUACUCACUAGUGGGUUGUUUAAUCCCCCUAAUUUCUGGUGGGGUCUUGUUGGUUGAUAUUGUUGUUCUUCCUGGGGUUUUGCAAAUCCCUUCAGCUCAUUAAGUAUUUUCUCUAAAACUUCCAUUGAAACCCCCAUGUUUAAUCCAAUGGUUAGCUGCAACCAUCCUCAUUUAUAUCAGUAGGGAUCUGUCAGAGCCUCUCAGGAGACAUCCAUAUCUGAUUUCUAUCAGCAAGGAUUUGUUGGCAUGAGCAAUGAAGUCUGAAUUGGGUGGCGGCAUAGUGGAUGGAUCCCCACGUGGGGCAGUCUCUGGUUGACCCUUUCUUCAGUCCCUGCUUGACUCUUUAUCAUUGUAUUUCCUUCCAUGAAUAUUUUGUUCCUUCUUCUUAGAAACAAUGUAGCAUCCACAUUUUGGUCUUCUUUUAGUUUGGGCUUCAUAUGACCUGUGGAUUCUUUCUUAUGAAUUCCACACUUUUGGGUUGAUACACACUUCCAAUUAGUUUAUAUUAUUUGUGUUAUUACCUCACACAGAAUGAUAAUUUCUAAUUCCAUCCUAAGAAUUUUAUGCAAACAUUGUUUUUGAUAGCUUAGGAUACAGGGUGUAAAUAUACCACAUUUCCUUUAUCCAUUUCUUUGUUGAGGGACAUCUGGGUUCUUUUCAGCU